CUCCAAAAGAGACUCUGCAAAAUGUCUUUCUAAAACUAUUAGCGGGGGCCAUGCCAGGGCAACUCUCAAAAACAAAGAAGAAGACCUCGACUAGCCACAAUGAGAAAAGUGCAGAAAGGAAGCAGGUAAGUGUGAAGCCAGCCUCCAAACUCCCAGGGAAAAAAUGCAUACAGGGCAAAGAGGCCGGUGUGAAGAUAAAUUUACCAAGCUCGAUGAGGAUCUCUGCAAUGAAGGAGGAAAGGAAGAAGACAACACAGUAUGGGCAAGAAAAGAAGCCUACAGAAAGGAAGGAGACGACCUCAAAUAGGCUUAAUAUGAAAAAAGCAGAAACAAAGCAGGUCAGUGUGAGGCCGACCUCAAAACUCCCAGGGACGAAACGCUUAGAGGUCAAAGAGGCCCAUGUGAGGACCACUGCGAUGAGGAAAGAAAAGGAGGAAAAGAGGACGACAACCCUGCAUGGCCAAGAAAAGAAGACUGCACAAAGGAAGGAGACGACCUCAAAUAGGCCUAAUAUGAAAACAUCCGAAACAAAGCCGGUCAUUGUGAGUCCUAUCUCAAAACACCCAUGGACGAAACGCAUAGAGGUCAAAGAGGCCCAUGUAAGGACAAAUUUACAAAGCUCAGCAGGGACCACUGCAAUGAGGAAAGAAAAGGAGGAAAGGAAGGAGAUGACCCUGCAUGGCCAAGACAGGAAGGAGCAAAAGAAAGAAAUGAUCCAAUUCAAGUCGGAGGAUGAAAUGGCAAAGUUGAUGGAGGUACUGAUGGAGUUGGCCUUUUCUUCUUACAUGGAAUACAAGAAAAGGGUGAGAGAUCCACAUGCAUUCAGUUCCAAAAAGAUGAUCCCUGAGGGAAACAUAAACGGCAUGACUCUGACUCUGUGUAAGGGAAACGUAAAGAGCCCGAUUCCAACUCCGUCUGAGGGAAACAUUAAGAGCCCGAUUCCAACUCCGUCUGAGGGAAACAUGAAGAGCCCGAUUCCGACUCCGUCUGAGGGAAACGUAAAGAGCCCGAUUCCGACUCUGUCUGAGGGAAACAUGAAGAGCCCGAUUCUGACUCCGUCUGAGGGAAACAUAAACAGCACGACUCUGACUCUGACUCUGCCCCCCAUCACAGACAAGCAAGAGCUCACUGGCGGGUUGCCUAAUUUUGGAAACAACUGCUACGUUAACGCAAGUCUGCAGUGUCUGUUCACAGCUGAGUCUUUUUGCGGAGAGCUCUCCUACCUGCUGGACAAUUCUGUCCACAAACUAGAGGACACAUUCCUCAGAUGUUUUGUGGAGUUGUCGAGGUUGAGAAAGAGCUCUGAAGUUCAAGGUGGCAUCAGCAAGGAUUCUCUCCUCCUGGCCCUGAUUGAAUCAGCUACAGACAUCAAUCCAGAAUUCACCAUCAGUCAACAGAACGACGCCCAUGAAUUCCUCUGCCACUGUCUGACCCAAAUGGAGGAGUCUGGGCGAUGGCUGGGUUGGCAAGAGGAUGUGGACCCUAGAUGCCCAGUCAGGGCCAAUUUCAAGUUCAAGAUGAGGAACAUUAUAACAUGCUCCAGCUGUGGAUCCAGGCAGAACAAAGUGGAAGUGUUUAAUCACAUCUCUCUGCCCCUGGUGCACAACUCAGUGGACCAGUGCCUCUAUGACAUAGUUAAUAACCCCACAGUGUUAGAGAGCAAAUGCAAGAUGUGUGGAGGAGAAUGUGCCAACUCCAGGUGGACGUUCCACACUCUGCCCAGGUUUCUGAUUCUGCAGCUGAACAGGUUCAAAGUGACUGAAUAUUACACAGUCGUCAAGCUGCAUAUGCCAGUGGAGAUCAAACCUGAGCUGCAGAUAAACUGCCAUCCUCAAUCAGAUACGCCCGAAAUAGGUACGUCGCAAGCAAAUAACUAGUGCAAGCCUCAAAUCCAAGAGAGUCCAAGAGAGUCAGCUAAUGUUUACAGCCUGUAUAAAUCACAUCCAUAUUAGUUAAAGAAGAGCUAAUCUUUCCUUUGUGCCUUCCUUCCUCAUGUAGAGAACAGCAAAGCUGAGGCCAGAGAGACAGACAGAAAUGAACUGGGUGGAUCAGCUGCCACGUAUCGACUGAUCAGUGUCCUCAGCCAUGUUGGAAGCACAACAUUAUGUGGACAUUAUCUGAGUGAUUGUUCCAGUUCCAGUCACCAGUGGAUGACCUACAAUGACCAGCGGGUCACUCUGACCACCGAGAUGGACGUGUUAAAGAUGAGGUCGACUAGCGCCUAUGUGCUCCUCUAUGAGAGAGUUAGCACUGGCUGAAGCCCUUCCUCUUCUCUAGAAAGAUGCAAGAAGAUGCGGUGGGAAAGAUGUCGGGGCAAGCGACAGCGUGGAUGGCUUGGGGGCACGCAGGGGUGAUGCAGAUGGAAGAUGGAGACUACGCAGCAUUUUGCUAAGUAUCUCGUGCGACGACGCUUUUGGCCUAGUGGAAUUCUCAUUGUGAGUUAAGUAUGGAGGCGGAUCAUGUUAACGACGCUCCACCGGUGUAGCAGGUGUCUGUCGCAGCCAGACGACUUGCACCUGUGGGUUCGGCCCCUCGAACCGGUGAGCAGCUCGAUAACUGCAAAGUAGCAGUCCAGGAAGUGAUCCUGAACUGUAGAGUUCCUAGCAGGCAGGCCAUGUAUGGUCUAUAUGGGCAUAGAGCAUACAUGUGGGUAUGUAUGCAUUUUGUGGGCACUGCUGUAUAGUGGCAAAUCGCCAUCUAUGCUGAACGUAUAUGUGGCAGCCAUUUUGGCUAACCACAUCACAGUGGAGAACAUCUUGUUGGCAGCACAUGGGCUCAUAGCAGUGUUGUGAGCUAAGGAGGUAAACACCUCCAUUUGCCAAACCCCCCAAGAACCAAAUUGUGAUCCCAACUUCUUAUUGCAGGUUACAGGAUGCUGAUCUGAAAUUUGAACGUGUCGAAUACUUUUUGCUUAUGAUCAGCUCAGCAAAAAGGGAGGAAUACCUGCAUGCCUUUGUGAUAAAUUCGCCCUGCGUGCUUUACUGGCCAGAUGAUUCUGGAGUGACCUUGUGGCUGAACCCAGGGUUCCUGCCUAAGGUUGUUUCUUGGACACUGUAUCUAAACACUUCUGCUGUAAUCAUAAACACCCUGAUGUUCAUAAAGAACAUCUUUUCAACACCCUCAGGACUGUCUAUAUAGUACAUGAUUAAGGAAGAGUAAUGAUUUCUAAUCUCACUAUCUGGUGUCACCCAGAAGAGGAUGGGUUCCCUUUUGAGCCUGGUUCCUCUCAAGGUUUCUUCCUCAUGUGUCAUCUGAGGGAGUUUUUCCUUGCCACUGUUGCCUCUGGCUUGCUCAUUAGGGAUUUAAAUAAAUCAAGAUUUUUGGGACGGAAUGCGUCCACAGUCCCGCUAUCUGGAUGUUAAGCACCACCCUUGGCAGUUUUGAGAUGCUCAUAGUAAGUGAUCUACUGCCAAUUGAUUCCUUAAGUUGGACAAUGUCCAGCUUGAAGAUCAGCAAAAAUAAAUUGGAUCUCACAGUAUGUGUUUUCUUUGGGUCUGUUUUUAUUCCUAUAUGAUCCUUAAUAGUUUUUUCCUGUCUGACUUUGGAGCAGGCGCAUUACGUAGGUAA